rnacentral:rRNA from 1 species
AUGAAACAACAUCAGCGCAGUAUCUGCAAGCUACAUCAUUUACGCACUGUUAUCUGCAUUGACCCACUUACAGAUGAUAUGAGUGAUCUUUUCCAUCAGGUACUGCAAAACUUGAAGAAGUUACGUGUACUCUAUUUGUGCUUCUACAAUAGUAACAAGCUGCCUGAAUCUGUUGGUGAGCUGAAGCACCUUCGGUAUUUAAACCUCAUUAGAACUUCCAUUGCCGAAUUGCCUCGAUCAUUAUGUGCUCUUUACCACCUACAGUUACUUCUGUUAAACCAUAAAGUUAAGAGUUUGCCUCACAAACUAUGGAAAUUAAGCAAGUUACGGCAUCUUGAAGGGUAUCAAGAUCUGGGAUACAGGAUGUAUGAAGUAGCUCUGCCUCAAAUCCCUUAUAUAGGCAAGCUAACUUUGCUCCAGCAUUUUAAAGAAUUUUGUGUGCAAAAACAGAAGGGAUGUGAGUUGCGGCAGCUCAGAGACAUGAAAGAGCUUGGUGGCAGUUUAAGAGUCAGAAAUCUCGAGAAUGUUACUGGAAAGGAUGAAGCCUUAGAGUCGAAGCUAUAUCAGAAAAGUCAUAUUGGAAGCUUGAAUCUUGUCUGGGGUUGCAAUAAUAGCAUGAAUGCAGAUGAUAGUUUACAGUUGGAGAUUCUAGAAGGCUUGAUGCCACCGCCUCAACUGAAAGGCCUGAAAAUCAAGGGUUACAAAUCUGACAUGUAUCCAAGUUGGCUACUUGAGGGUUUGCAUUUUGAGAAUUUGGAAUCUUUUAAGCUCGUCAAUUGCAGUGCGUUAGAAGGCCUGCCACUCAAUACUGAGCUCUUCAGGCAUUGCUCUGAACUGAAGCUCAAGAAUGUCUGGUCUCUGAAAACAUUAUCUUAUCUUCCAGCCGCCCUCAUGCACUUAACAAUUAGCAGUUGCCCACUGCUUAUGUUUAUUGCCAGUGAUGAGCUAGAACAGCAUGAUCAGAUGGAGAACAUCAUGAGAACAGACUACUUGGCAUCACAACUUGCUUCAUUGUGGGAAGUGGAUUCCAGAUCGCAUAUUAAGAGAGCAUUAUCGUCAGAACAUUCAUCUCUGAAGCAAAUGAUGACAUUAAUGGAUGCUGACAUGUCACAUCUUCAAACCAUUGCAAAUGCUGUAGAAAGAGAGACUGGUGAGUUAAUGCUGAAAGAUGAUAUCAUCAAGGCAUGGAUAUGUUGCCACGAGCAGAGGCUGAGAUUCAUUUAUGGAAGAAGCAUCAGCUUGCCCUUGGUUCCACCGUCUGGUCUUUGUCAACUUCAUCUUUCUUCAUGCAGUAUUACGGAUGGGGCAUUAGCUGUUUGCCUUGACGGUCUCACGUCACUGAGACGUUUGUCCUUGAUGGAGAUCAUGACUUUAACUACAUUUCCAUCGCAAGUGGUUCUUCAACAUUUGACAAAGCUCAACGACCUUUACAUUUCAUCCUGCUGGUGUUUCAGAUCAUUAGGGGGGUUACGAGCUGCUACCUCUCUUUCAGAUUUUCAAUUGUUUGACUGCCCUUCUUUAGACUUGGCACAUGGAGCAAAUUUUAUGCCAUUAUCUCUUGAGAAGCUCCGUAUACAGCGGUGCAUGGUUACAACUAAUUUCUUCAGUAGUGACUUGCCAUUCCUGCUGCAUCUUUCCAUGUUUGGGUGCAGAAGCUCUGCAUCCUUGUCGAUUGGUCACCUGACCUCCCUUGAAUCACUAUCACUAGGAGGUAUCCCUGAUCUGUGCUUUCUUGAAGGACUGUCUUCCCUGCAACUUCGCCAUGUACAUUUGACAGACGUCCCAAAGCUUGACGCGAAGUGCAUUUCACAAUUCCGGGUCCAAAAAUCACUAUAUGUUAGCAGCCUUGCGAUGCUCAACCACAUGCUCUCGGCUGAAGGUUUUACAGUUCCACCAUUUCUGUCUUUCCAAGGAUGCAAGGAGUCAUCCGUUUCAUUUGAAGAAUCAACAGAUUUCAGAUCUGUCAAGUGCCUGAGGUUAAGUUAUUGCGAAAUGAGUUCCCUGCCAAGAAAUCUGAAGUGCUUCUCCAACUUGACAAAACUGGAAAUCCACAUGUGUCCCAAUAUAUCAUCUUUACCAGAUCUGCCAUCCUCCCUCCAGCACAUAGUCUUGUGGAACUCUAAAGUCUUGCAGAAGAACUGCAGAGCACCUGAUGGAGCAACUUGGCCAAAGAUUGAGCAUAUCCGCUGGAAGGAAUUCACAGAAUUUCCAGAUUCAUAA